rnacentral:snRNA from 1 species
GGAUGUGAGGUCCAUCUGGCCGAGGCAGCUGUUGCCCAUUGAUCGCCAGGGUUGGUUUGCCUGAUUGGCUGGCUAGGUGGGUGUCCCCUUCCUCCCCACCAUUCCAUGUGCGGCCCUUCUGAAGCUGCACGCUCAGUCAAAGAGGAAGACCUUCCUGGACGGGAGGAAGAUGUGUCUUUGGUCAAGGGUAUAAGAAUAGCCGCACUCUCUUUCUCUCAAAACACUUGCUUAUUGCCCUUCUCUGCAGAAAGCACCCCAAAGGUCCCCAUCCGCAGGAAGCCUGGCUGCUCUCU